CGCACUCACUACUGUAAGUCGCUCUGGAUAAGAGGGUCUGCUAAAUGACUAAAA
rfam:Salmo salar isolate Sally breed double haploid chromosome ssa27, whole genome shotgun sequence.